UUUGUGUCAUUUGAAAGAGGUUGUUGGGGGUGGAGUGGAACACUGGGAAGCCUCAAAUUCCCUCCUAGGAGACUCCCAACAGAAUUCAAGAACCCGCAACCCCAGAGGGUCCUUAGCAACCAACAGACAAAAUGGACCAUGGCACAGCCAGCAUUGUGGCUCCCAGUGAGCAGCCCCUGGGCCUCCCUGAUAUUCUGGCAGCAUUUUGUCACCUUUUGUCCAUCCUGAAACCUUCUAUCCUCAAGUCUCAGGCAACCUAUGCCAGCUGUCCAUGCAGGAGCAGCCCUUCCCUGCAGGUGGACACUCCAGGCAGGGAUGGCACCCCAUGCACUGGCAGCAGAUGUGGCACCUCAGGCAUCCCUAGCACCCCUGGUCCUUGGUAUUUUUGGGACAAGGGCUCAUCAAUCCUGUGAGAGCAUACCUGCCCUCACCUGGGUAAUGUAUGCCCAAUAAAUAUAAUUUACAGAGAAUUUUCCAAAUGUUA